ACCCUAUAACUCCAAAGGAUUCGAUCGGAAUAAACCCACAAAAUCAGCAUCCUCAACUCUGUCCAAAUUUUUAUCUUUUCGGGAUACUAACUUUUUGGGUUUAUUCGGAUCGAAUCCUUUGGAGUUAUGAGG
rnacentral:miRNA from 1 species